UUAAGCGAAAUUUUCUAAAAUAAGUUUAAAGAAAAAAAAUACAAACAUUUGGCCGGCCGGGGAUUCGAAUCGGCUUUGCAAAUCAUGAUUGCCAUGGAAAUUUGUGUGCUAGAUGGCAGAACGCGUAUUUUAGCAAAUAGCUAAACAAAAGAAUUUGUUGAAAAUCUACAAAAUUUCAACUAUGUAUUUUGUCUGUCAAGUCUUUACUAACAUACUUCAACAAUUAAUGUCUUAUAUUCAAUGCUAAAAAUCGAUGAUCCAACCAUGUCCAUUCGUGUGUUUCUUGAAAUCCCACUUUGUAUGUACCUGUCUCAUAGACCGCUCCACCGAUUGAAAGCAUUCAACGUACAACGUACAAAGACUCAUAUAAAUAUUACCCAGAAUUUAUGACUUCUUGAUAGAUCCCUUGACACUCGCACCUAUUGCAGUCAAUACAGGAAUUUAUGCACUUUUUGCUUAAAUUUGGAACAGUGAGACCCUUUGUAACAGCAUUAGACACCUCGACGUUCAGGCCGAGUAUGAUUCAGAUUGGAAGGUAUUUAAAUUUAGCUCCACUAUAAACUCGUCAUCCGAUGUAAAAUUUUGGGCUCAUAAAAACCACAUAUUUUACCCGCUUUAGCUGUAAAGAGAGUUUAAUUAAAUCCCCGAUAAACGUGGGAAAUAUAGUCCAGUUUCGAUCAUAA